CCUACGGGUGGCUGCAGUCGAGAAUCUUCCGCAAUGGACGAAAGUCUGACGGAGCGACGCCGCGUGCUGGAUGAAGGCCUUCGGGUUGUAAACAGCUGUCAUAGGGGAGGAAAUUUUGACCGAUCCUAAGAGGAAGCACAGGCUAAGUUCGUGCCAGCAGCCGCGGUAACACGAACUGUGCGAACGUUAUUCGGAAUCACUGGGCUUAAAGGGUGCGUAGGCGGUCUUGUAGGUCAGAUGUGAAAUCCCACGGCUCAACCGUGGAAUUGCGUUUGAAACCACAGGACUUGAGUAAGAUAGAGGUAAGCGGAACUGAUGGUGGAGCGGUGAAAUGCGUUGAUAUCAUCAGGAACACCGGUGGCGAAAGCGGCUUACUGGGUCUUUACUGACGCUGAGGCACGAAAGCUAGGGGAGCGAACGGGAUUAGAUACCCUGGUAGU
rnacentral:rRNA from 1 species